rnacentral:rRNA from 1 species
CAGAGACUUACAGAGACGGCUAUGNUUGNCCUUCGGGAACUCUGAGACAGGCGCUGCAUGUCUGUCGUCAGCUCGUGUUGUGAAAUGUUGGGUUUAGGUUCCCGGCAAAGGAAGGGCAACCCUUUAUCCUUUGUUGCCAGCGGUUCGGCCGGGAACUCAAAGGAGACUGCCAGUGAUAAACUGGAGGAAGGUGGGGAUGACGUCAAGUCAUCAUGGCCCUUACGAGUAGGGCUACACACGUGCUACAAUGGCGCAUACAAAGAGAAGCGACCUCGCGAGAGCAAGCGGACCUCAUAAAGUGCGUCGUAGUCCGGAUUGGAGUCUGCAACUCGACUCCAUGAAGUCGGAAUCGCUAGUAAUCGUAGAUCAGAAUGCUACGGUGAAUACGUUCCCG